CGUCUAUAUACGUAUAGCAUAUCAAUAAGCGGAGGAAAAGAAACUAACUAAGGAUUCCCUCAGUAACGGCGAAUGAAGCGGGAAGAGCUCAAAUUUGAAAUCUUCAAGGUUCUACCUUGACGAAUUGUAGUUUAAAGAAGUGUUUUCUGUUGAAGUUUUGGUAAAAGUUCUUUGGAAUAGGACAUCAUAGAGGGUGAGAAUCCCGUAUUUUUUUUUUGACCAGUUAUUUCCAGCUGUGUGAUACACUUUCAAAGAGUCGGAUUGUUUGGGAAUGCAGUCCAAAAUGGGUGGUAAAUUUCAUCUAAAGCUAAAUACUGGCGAGAGACCGAUAGCGAACAAGUACCGUGAGGGAAAGAUGAAAAGAACUUUGAAAAGAGAGUUAAACAGUACGUGAAAUUGUCAAAAGGGAGGCGUUUGACACCAGUGUUGUUUUCUCGAAAAUCAAUUAAAAAUGGUGGGAUUUUGUGUUGUAUUGACUUUAUCAGCUUUCUGCACUUUUUUCCUGAUCUUUUUUAAUGCACUUUUCGUUUAACAAGUCAACAUCAAUUUCUUUUGUUGUAAAAGAGUCAUUGGAAGGUGGCUUUCUUUUCGGAGAAAGUGUUUAUAGCCUUUGACUUCUGCAAUCGGAGAGAUUGAGGUCUGCAGCGUAGAUCCUUCGGGGUUAGAUGCAUUUGUGCUAAGCUAUAGCCUUUCAUAGACAACUUGUUGACUAUGAUCAGUCAUGUAGCUUACUCGCUUAUGUCAUUUUACCUACGCUUAGGAUGUUGACGAUCAGCUGAGCGCG
rnacentral:rRNA from 1 species